GCAGCGGUGGCGUAGUGGUAUACGCUACAGUCUUCUAAUCAGUCGCCGUGCGCUGCUCGGAUUCGAAUUCCGUCCCUAGUG